CCGGCCUCGCCUUCCUUGCAAGAAGUUAUGGAAUAACAUCAGAGCUUUUUGAGGCAGGUGUUAAUCAUGUCCCCAUUUUACCGGUGAGGACGCUGAGACUUGGAGAAGCUCCCAUCUGUGAGUAAGUGUUGGAGCCAGGUCUGUCUGACCUCGAAGUUGAACUUCCACUCUCCACUCUGAGAAGAAGCGUGCUUAGGGAGGCGCUGCUUGUAGAAAAGGAUCCUGGAGAACUAUUCAUUUGUCAUCACUCAGGCCAAGAGAGUAACAGAAGAAAUGAUCAAUGAAAAACCCUCCAAAAGUUGUCAUCGGCUUGGGUUUAUCCUGCUUUAAAUCAUAACUUAAGCAGCCUGAAAUGGUAUUUCCCAAAGAUGGGAAUGAAAUUCUGGUUAUUCAAGGAAGAAGCCAAGGGCUGGGGGUUUGCAGGAGCAGUUUCCAGACUCCCAGGAGUGCAGGCAAAGAAGAGGCAGGAUUGCUGUCUCCCAAUGUGUGAAGCUCCAUCUUAAUAAAGCAGGUGCUGCCUGUGUCAAUACCCUGGUGGCUACCAGCUCAGCCCCUGGAAACUGACUGCCUUGGUUCCUUUCCUGGUUCCACUACAUGCUAGUUGUGAGAUCUUGGGCAAGCUACACCCUCUCUCAGCACCUGUCCUGUAAAAUGGAGACAACGACAGCACCCAUCUCACAGGAUUAUCGCUAGAAAGCACUCACAGUGGUAGCCAGCACCCAACACGUACUAUGACAAAUUUCCAUUGUUGUCGUUAUCAUCCUGUGACCCCUAAAGGUAAAAUGGAGCUGAACGCUGUAACUUACAGAAAGUGGGGUUUUUAUUUGUGUAGGGGAGAACUUUUUGCCUCACUCCCCUGCUGAACACUUUUCAAUUCCACUUCAUUACCCUUAGGAGAAAGGCAGAAAUCUUUAACGUGACCCCCACGGUCCUGCUCAUGCGGCCCUUGACUUGUAACAGUGAAACUGCCUAUGCAAAAUGAUGACUGAGACGGUGAAAGAAAUCUAUCUUAACUGACUCUGUUUUGCUUCUAACCUCCAAGCUGUCCUUGUUCAUUCCUGGGCGUAGGCUGAACUAACUUUGGGAGAAACUUUAUAGUUUACAGUUUAAACAAAGACAGUAACAGCCUUUCCCAAAACAGAUCUCCUUCUGGUCUGGGGACUAGACUGUCUUUGUAGGACUAACAAGUGUCACAUUAGAAAUGUGCCAAGAUUAGAAACAUAAGCAAAGAUUAGAGAUUAUGGUUUUGGAGUCAUGCAGCUGGAGGCUACAAGAUUCUGACCCUCCCUAAACUGCUCCUAAGAUCAGUGCUUGAGACGUUUUGCCGACCCUGCACUUGAUGGAUCAGCUGGUACCACCCAGAUCAAUAAACUGGCUCAUCUGAUCUUGUGGCCCCCACCCGGGAACUGACUGAGCACAAGAAGACAGCUCCAACUCCCUAUGAUUUCACCUCUGACCAAUCAACAGUCCUGGCUCUCUUCCUUCUCCCCGCCCACCAACUUAUCCUUAAAAACUCUGCUCCCCGAAUGCUCCGAAGACUGAUUUGAGUAAUAAUAGAACUCUGGUCUCCUGCACAGCCAGCUCUGCAUGAAUUACUCUUUCUCUAUUGCAAUUCCUCUGUCUUGAUGAAUUGGCUCUGUCCAGGCAGUGGGCAAGGUGAACCCCUUGGGUGGUUACAACAGGCUUAUCUUGCACUCCUUGGUCCCUUGCUCACUGUACUCCAUCUGUCAUCCUUUGGAAUUUCUUGUAUGCACAAUGCCCCCUGCCUCUAGCCUCAGGGCCUUUGCACAUGCAGUUUCUUCUGCCCAGAACAAUCUUCUAUCUUCCUCCUGGCCAAUCUCUGCCAACCCUUCAAUUUUCAACUUAAGUAUCAUUUCCUUAGAGAAACUUUUCCAGAUCUUCUAAGUGAGGCCAGUCCUCCUUCUUAUAUAUCCUCAUAGUAUCCUAUUCUCUGUAGCAGUUACCACAGUCAUAAUUUUUUCAUAUAAUUAUUUAAUGUCUACUUCUAAUGGUACCAGAAACAACCCUUGCCUUACUCACUGCUAUACUCUCAGCUCCCAGCACAGUGCCUGGCACUGAUAGGCAGCAGGAAACAUUUGGGGGUUUAAUGAAUACAUUUUCUCACCAGCUUUGCUGGGCAGGGCUGCCUUUAGGGGCCAUGAGGUGCACAUCCCCGGAGAUGUACAACCAAAGCCAGGGACAUGGUGAGCUGAAGAAGCACUCAGGUGAAUGAGGCCUCUCUGCUUCCUCCAGGGAGAAUUCAUUGCCACUAACCUUCAAGCUCUGAGGCUGCAAAAUUUGCAAGACAACAGCUGAGACUGAUGGGGGCUGAGAUUAGAUUAUUCCUUCAGGGAGGGGUAUCACCUCCUGGGGGAAAAGGGAAGGGGGUGGACACCCCCAAGUGGGAUGGGGGAAAGGAAUAGCUGCAAGAAAAGAAGGAGGGGGGGCCCUGGAGGACUAGCACAAAGGCCGGAUUUAGCCGCUGUGCAGGUCAACAUCCCUGAGUCUACACCAAUAGGAACCCCUUCCCUCUCCUCCUCUCCAGCUGCCUCUGCCCUCUGCACUCACAAAGCCUCAGAGCAAUCGCCCAACCCAUAUGGUAAAAUAUUCAUCGGGAUGCAAGGCAAGGCAAGAGACUGAGGCAGUGUCAGAAGAGGGGGUGGGGUUUCCUGGCUGAGAGGUCCUGGGUGCAUCUUCUUUGGGCAGCGAGCCACGAUGUUCUCUGCUUGGGAGCUGCGUGAGGGUCACAGCUUGGGCACAGCUAAACUCCUGAGGCUAGCACAAAUGUAUUUAACAUUCCACCAACGUCCAGCUACUGGGGACUCCUGCAUUAUUUAUUUAUUUUUGUACUAAUGGCCUGAAACGUCUACAGAGCAGCUCUUGGAUAGCAUGGUGACUAGAAACCCAGGCCCCUUGCUCCGCAUCUUCUGCAGUGUGAGCAGAGUUCAUGGUCUUGGGUCCCACUGACUAGCCCUGGGUCUGGAAUCACAGGCAGCAUUGGGGUGAUUUUCCUCCUUGCCAAGACACAGAUCCCUCUGAGGAGCGCCCGGUUAUUUUUGAGUCUUCUGUGCUCAAUCUUAUCCCUCAUUUCCAGGAACUGCAUUGGCACCCGAGGCUCUUGCAAGUGGCAAUUUAC
rnacentral:lncRNA from 10 species